rnacentral:lncRNA from 1 species
UGGGAUUAAGUGUUUAAAAAAAACAAAAGAUGAUGAUGAUGAUGAUGAAUCAAUAUAUAUGUAUAUAUAAUUACAUGGAAAGGGAUGGCCUAGCCUGAUGGUGAGACUAGUACUACAUGUGCAUGUCAACCUCACCCUCUAGGCCUCUCUCUCAUUGAUCAUCAUGUCUGAUAGCUCAAAAGAGGAGACAACAGGUUAAAACAUAUAAUAUAUCAUGUCUAUAUAUAUAUUUAAUUUGUAUGUUGAAGAAUGAAGUUGCAUGAGAGCUUCAAAUCCAUCAUCACAUCAACUGGGGACAAAUUAAAGACGACAUCAACAAGCUAGGUGCAGUACAAAUUAUUUAGAUCAUAUACGUACUAUCAUCAUGUUAUAUAUACAUAUACUAUAGCUAGCUAGCUAGCAAGGACCACAUGCAUCUUAUUUUUAUAUUUUUUUUCCUCAUUGCCCUGUUGUAUGUAAAUUAAUUUCCUACUUUUGGCCAUUAAUAUAUAUAUUCGAUGCAGCUGUAAUUUCAUUUUCACAUGUAAUAUGAUUUUUAUUUUUAUUAGUGUAUAUAGUGAGUGUACAUGUGUAUAUAUAUAUAUAUAUAUAUAUAAAUGGGUUAUAGAUAUAUACAUAGUUGUGUAGUACACAAUCGUUUGAUCUAAAAUACGAAAUUGAACUUAGAUUAGGUCAGGUGUGAUCGCAAGAGUAUUGAGUAAUGAAAUUGAAAAAUACAAGUUUACAACCUGUUCGAGGCACGAGUUAGUUUAUAAAAUAAUUUUAUUUGUACUUUGUUCUAUUAAACUUCUAUUAAAUAUCAAACUUUUAAAAAUAUUUUUGUUAGUUCUAUAUGUGAUAUAUAGAUCAACUAAAUUUUUCAAAUUUUGAAGAAAUUAAACUUAUAAGUAUUUAUAAAAAAAUAAAAUAAAAAGGUAAAGAAUUUUUAUUGAUUAUUUUUAAAGAAUUUCAUCAUAUAUUACACAUACAACGUGGUUGUGCUAAGCUAUAUCGCAAUGAUAAAUUAAUUUUAUGAGGAAAAAAAAAUUAAGAAAAGAUGAUGAGUAUUUAUAUCUUUUAUUCAUUAUAUAUAUAUAUAUAUAUAUAACAAUCAUUGUUGUCGGGGAAUAUUCGGUUGGUCGUGGAAUAUUUUUUUUAUCGGGAAUAUCUGUACGACGGCGCAGCCAUUUGUGGGCCGCAUAACGGAAUAACUGUCGGAUGAGGAAAACGACAAAGUUUAAGUUUUUAUAAAUAACGGCGUAGUUGUUACCGUUAACACUGUUGGAAUACCUGGUGGUUAAAAUAUAGUAAUACGCGUGGUUGCACAGUAGCACACGGUAUUGCAUAGUAUUGUUAAAUUAUUGAUUCGUACGUAAGAAGGCACUACUCAAUAAUUGUUACAGUAAUUACUGUUCAAUAUUUUAUUUUAUUAUUUCAAUAAUUAUCGCGUUGUUAGUUUAUAUUAUUGUUGUUUCAAUAAUUAUCACUACUCAGUAUUUCCCAUUAUCAGAUCAAUAAUUCAUAUUAUUUGAAUAAUAUUAUUAGAUAGCAUUAUUGACAAUGUCUAGAAAAUUCUGUCAAUGAGAGGUUUGGACACCUAAUUGCGCGCCAGUAAGGAGAAAUCCUUAUUGGAAAGCCCCCUCUUUCCUGGGAACGGCCUGGUUGUCAUAAUUGUGAUUCUGUAAUAUUAUUUGUGAAUAAUUAAUUAUUGAUUUAUAUGAUAAGGAAAUAUUUAUUUGAUGUGGAUAUAAAUGAUGAAUUUAUUUAUUUUAUGUGAUUAUUAACGAAGGAAUUAAUGCUGAGGUGUUUUAUCAGUAUUUUGUCGGAGUGGAUGUAUUAAAAAUCACCCGUUUGUGGGUUUCAAAUAUUUUCUGUUUGAAAUUUCGAAAAACUCAAAGCUACAAAGUUGUAGAGAAUUUAAUUUUGUGUGGAAUGGACAUAAAAUUUGUAUUUUUCUGAAAAAUGGGCUAUUUUCUAUGAAUUACUGAAGUUUCAGAAAAUAAAAUAAUUUUUAUUAAAUUACAGGUGGGACCCACUUUUUGGUUGGUGUUGAAUACACAUGUGGGCUGCUGAUUUUUUUGUCAAAGAUGGUUGCUAGCUUGUUCAAUUAAUGCAUGCGUAGGAAAUGAGAAUAGAAAUAAUAUUAUUUUAUUAUUUUAGUCUCCUAUAGCGUUCUAGCAUUUUUCUAUAAAUAGGCACUUGAGUUAUAAUUGAAAAUCACACCAGAAACAAGUUUUCUUUCUCUCUAGAUUAUCGAGCGUAUUUUUGUGAGUAUUUAUAUACUUUGAGAGUUGCUGUUCGGUACAAGCUUCCUUCGGUUUUAUAUCCGAUAUUCCGAUCAGAAGUACCGUUAUUUUGAGGUAAGGGAUGUUAUUUUUUUCUUAAAUGAUAUUAUUUUCUUCAAUAUCAUUAUGCCGAAAAAUUGGUUUGAACUUUUUAAUCAAAUUUAGAACUUUUGUGUCGGGAUUACUAUUCACGUAUACGGCACUAUUCACGAAUACGACACUAUUCACCAAAAAAUAAAUUUUUUUCUUUUUGUCCAAGAUAUCUAUUAUGGUUACUAUUUUUGAUUGUAUCUAUGUUUUGAUCUUUAUUUUUGAAUUCUGCUUCUCAAUUGGUUAUUAUGAAGUAUUAUUGAUCUUGGAUAAGCUGUUACACGAAUCCCUAAUAUUUGUCCUUCUGUCUCACUGGAUUCGUUUUCUUUAAAAUAUUUUUCAUCAUCCUCAGUCUUAAAUGAUGAUAUUACUGAAUAUCUUUGGCCUGUAGUGCAAAAAUGAAUGAUUAAAUGAUAAAUAUCUUUGGCCCGUAGUGCAAAGGUGUUGAGAUGAACAUGAUCAACUGGUGAUACAAAUGAAUAUAUUUGGCCUGUAGUGCAAAGAUGAAUAUUUGAUUAAAGAUGUAUAUUGAUUGUUGUUAUAGGGAUAAAAUAUUGAGAUGAACUUUUAAAUCUUAGAAGAUAGUAGAAUUCAUUCUCUACGUGACUCUUCUAAUGGAUUGUUGUUUUCGCUGCAAUUGUUGAUCUAAAACUUGUUGUCUAUUAUAUUCUAUCAGAUUUUUUCCUGUUGAAGACUAAUGAUAAUUUGUUGUAUAUUAUCUUAGUCAUAAUAUUCUUUACUAGGCUAGUUGAGCUCACCCUUUUUCAUUUUGUUCCAUUUUUCUUCUCAGGAGGUGAGAACAUAGCAGGAUCUAGUCGGGG